UUAAGCCGGAGGAGCUCGCGUUCGCUGGAUCUUAUUAUCUGAGGGAGGAUGAUUUCGUGGAAUGCUUCAUGUGAGGCAUGUAACUCUAUUGGUGGGAAGCCGGGGACAAACCCAUGUUGGAGCAUCGAUUUUGGUCCAGGAAUUGUCCGUACGAUCCUCGAACGACGUCGAUACCGCCAAGAAGCGUGGACGAGUGUGGCAUCCUUCACCAGACGAUGGAGGAGAAGACAGAGGCGUGUGCAAUAAUUCGCGCAAUGUCCGUUUUGUCCAUCAACGAUGAUGACGACAACGAGGGUGGUGGCGUCAACGAUGAAUAAAAAAAAUGUAAUACAAAGUUUAAAA